rnacentral:rRNA from 1 species
GGUUAAGUUAGAAAGGGCGCACGGUGAAUGCCUUGGCACUAGGAGCCGAUGAAGGACGGUACUAACACCGAUAUGCUUCGGGGAGCUGU